rnacentral:lncRNA from 1 species
AUUCAUGAGCAAGAUAAACAAUUAUUUUUUUGUUUUAAGCUAAAUUACAGUUUUGAGUGGCUUGUUAUUAAACAAUGUAUAACCAGAACACUUACAAGAGAAAGCAAGACAAACUCAAUACUGCAAUAAUUCUAGCUGGAUGCUUUAGAAAAUGAUAGGCCUUUAGUUAGGCUCUUAUUAAUUACCCUAUCCUCACUAUGGUGCUCAAAAAUGCUUAUGGGAUGAAUGAAUGAAUGGCCUUUUCACCCUUGCUGCCUUCAGAACUUCCAGGUAACAAGAAGAAAUUUUAGGCUGUUCUUUUCUAGCAAUAUGAUUUCAAGCUUUGGUCUUUUCUGUUUUUUUUUUUUUUUUUUGUAAUGUCCAGAAAAAUCCUAGACUCAAAGGGUUGAAAGGGAGCAUGUGUGAUUGGUCACCCUGCCCCAGGGUUACAUGGCACUUCAUUCAUAUGCUUUCCAAGUUGGUUUUAUUGCCUCUUUAACUUUUCUCUUGAAAAUCUUGAGAGAAGGAAAGCAUCAACUUCAGUUUUGUGACAAGUGAGUCAUUGACAUUAGUCAAGAAAAUGGAGAAAAGAAAGUUUUCCCCUUAAUUUAGAAUGAAAAAGGAUUUUUAUCUAUUUUUUGUUAAAUGUACUUAUUUCCAAAUUUUAUUUAAUAGAGUCUACUGCAUUUUGGCAUCAUGUCCCAGCAGAUGACAGAAUUCCCAUUUCUUCCACAGGGGUAUUUAUGACAAUCCACAGAGCAGAGCCCUCACCUUGUGGAGCAUGGUGGUCAACCUCAGUGGCCAGUGGAUGCCAGAUCUCUGUGAUGGGGACAUUGCCUUGAGUGGAUGGGCUCAUCAGGCACUGCAGAAACAAAUGUUAGGGGUCUCCCAAAGAAACCCUAUUGCUGCAGAUUGAAUUGCGUGCCCCUCCAAAUUCAUGUGUUGGAGCACUAAACCCCAGUACCUCAGAAUCUGACUGAAUUUGGAAGUAGAAUCUUUAAAGAGAUAAUGGUGGUGGGCCCCAAUCCAAUAUGAUGGCUGUCCUUGUUAGAAGAGGGAGACACCAGAGAUAUGCACACAGUGGACAGGCCAUGUGAGGACAUGGUCAGAAAUGGCCAUCUGCAAGCCAAGGAGAGAGGCCUCUGCAAAACCAACCCUACUGACACCUUGAUCUUGGACUUCCAGGCUCUAGAACUGUGAGAAAAUAAAUGUCCAUUGUUUAAAUCA